rnacentral:ncRNA from 1 species
AAUAAAAAAAGUAAUUAAACAUAAGUUUAAUAUUAUUUUAACUUAGUUUUAGUUUUAUUUAUAUCCAAUAAGUUUAAUAAAAACUUAUUAUUAUUAAGUUUAGUUUCAGCCCUUAAUCCGAACUAAGCUAAUUUUUAAAGAUUUGCUCCAACUUUAAAAUUGUUGUCUCUCAUUGUAAUUAUCAUUGUAGCACGUGUGUAGCCCAACUCAUGAGGGCCAAUUGAUUAAUCCAAUCGAUUUUAAAUAAAUAUUGAAAAUUAGAUGUAGAUUUAUCAAAUAAAAUAAACGGCGGCCGUAACUCUGACGGUCCUAAGGUAGCGAAAUUCCUUGUCGGGUAAGUUCCGACCUGCAUGAAUGGUGUAACGACAUCCCCACUGUCUCCAAUAUAGACUCAGUGAAUUUGAAUUAUCCGUGAAGAUGCGGAUUCUCUAUAGUUAGACGGAAAGACCCCGUGAACCUUUACUACAUUUUUAUAUUGUUAUUUUAUAUAGUAUGAAGCUUAAAGUCAUCGGCCACGGGACGGUGAAGCUGCGCGUUUGGACAGGGCAUGCGUGGAUAAAUGCUCGACUCGAGAACACGCUUCACGUUCAAGAUUUGUCGAAGAAUCUGUUUUCGCUCACGACUGCAGCAGCUCGUGG